GUUUAAUUUUUUAUCUGAUGAUUCCAGAAGUUUUAAAUAUUGUGCAACAUUAUGCACAAUUCACGUGAUUGACUUCGUAAAGGUUUGCCUGAGAUGGAUCACUUCAGUUCUGAUAACAGCAAGGAUCGGAAUAAACGGAUAAUGUCCCUAGGUCUAAAUAGAACGUUGAUUCACUAAUUCUCGUGGAUGGAUUGGGCGAACGAAUAAUUAGUCCUUUUCUAAAAUGCUCUAAGAUGAAUAUAUAAAUUUCUCUGAAUAUUCUCACAAAAUCGGUUCCUCUAGGUUGCGAUUUUGUCCUACCGUCUCUAAUUAGCGCCGAAUAAGCCUUUUCGAUCGAGGUUGAUUCUGCAUCUAUCUAUCUUGUAUUCCGACGGCUUUUUCUGCCUUCUUCCUCCGAUGUUCUUUUGUGUUACCUACUUGCUCGCUCCCGUUAGGCCGCGCCCGCCAAAAUUCUCACGCGCUUUUGUUUAUCUCUGAUCUUUUUUACCUCUGAAAGACGAUUGCGAGUUUUUUUGGACAUUUAAACUUAACGCGACACCUUAUUAAUUCGUUAAUUUUUAAUACAAUCGAGGACAUGAGUCCACGGGCCGGGUUUCAUAGGAUCAACUCUCAUGUUGCGAUGUCUCUUUCUCUCCCUCCCAUUCCUUUCUCCGUUCUCCCCUCUAAAAAUAAAGGAAAAGUAAUAACAUCAAAAAAAGAAAAACUAAAAUGUGAAGGUGAGGACAAGGUCGUCACAUCCGACCCGCUGUCCUGUUCCUCACAAUAUUCCUCACUUUCCAAAAUUAUCUACUGUCUUGUAGGUUCAUUUUAGAAACAUUUAUAUAUAAUUUUUCCAAUUUCCUCUCUUAAAUGCUUGGAUUUUCUUUAACAAAUAGCUUCAAUGAGCAACGCAUGCGUGUAGGACCGACUUCACUCGCAAAACGUGUUCGAAGUAAAGGAAAUGAAAUAAAAAAAAACUAAAGUAGCAAAAAGAAAAUGUAUAUAUUUAUUAAUAGGCUAGAGUAAGUAUGUAUAUUCUUCACAUUCA
rnacentral:lncRNA from 1 species